UACGGAGGGUGCAAGCGUUAAUCGGAAUUACUGGGGGUAAAGCGUACGUAGGCGGCUUGUUAAGCAAGAUGUGAAAUCCCCGGGCUCAACCUGGGAACUGCAUUCGAAACUGGCAGGCUAGAGUCUUGUAGAGGGGGGUAGAAUUCCAGGUGUAGCGGUGAAAUGCGUAGAGAUCUGGAGGAAUACCGGUGGAGAAGUCGGUCUCCUGGGCCGUUCCUGACGCUGAGGCCCGAAAGCUAGGGGAGCAAACCGG
rnacentral:rRNA from 1 species